GCUAAUCCCAUUAAAGAGUCCUUAUCUACAAUGGGGUUUGGCACCUCGAUGUUGGCUUAGGGUAUCAGUACGGCGCAAAAGUCCUACAUUGAUGGUUUGUUCAACCAAUAAUCCCCUACAUGAGCUGAGUUCAGACCGGCGUAAGCCAGGUUAGUUUCUAUCCUCAGCUAAAAAUAACUAUUUAUAGUACGAAAGGACCUAAAUAAGUGUAAUAAUUACAUCACAUGAAUAUUAUAAUAUAAAUUAAAUAAAUAAUAUAUACAAAUUAUA
rnacentral:rRNA from 1 species